AGAGUUUGAUCCUGGCUCAGAACGAACGUUGGCGGCGCGCCUAACACAUGCAAGUCGCACGAGAAAGGGAGCAAUCCCCGGUACAGUGGCGCACGGGUGAGUAACACGUGGAUAAUCUUCCCUCGAGCGGGGGAUAACCUUCCGAAAGGAGGGCUAAUACCGCAUAAGACUACAGCCAGUUCGCUGGCAGCAGUCAAAGCUGGCCUCUUCACGAAAGCUAGCACUUGAGGAUGAGUCCGCGGCCCAUCAGCUAGUUGGUAGUGUAAAAGACUACCAAGGCUAAGACGGGUAGCUGGUCUGAGAGGAUGAUCAGCCACACUGGAACUGAGACACGGUCCAGACUCCUACGGGAGGCAGCAGUGGGGCAUCUUGCGCAAUGGACGAAAGUCUGACGCAGCGACGCCGCGUGGGUGAUGAAGACCUUCGGGUUGUAAAGCCCUGUGGGGAGGGACGAAUAAGUGGUGGCUAAUAUCCACCAUGAUGACGGUACCUCCUUAGCAAGCACCGGCUAACUUGUGCCAGCAGCCGCGGUA
rnacentral:rRNA from 1 species